rnacentral:rRNA from 1 species
CAGCCGCCGCGGUAAUACGAAGGGUGCAAGCGUUAAUCGGAAUUACUGGGCGUAAAGCGUGCGUAGGCGGUGAGUUAAGUCUGCUGUGAAAUCCCCGGGCUCAACCUGGGAAUGGCAGUGGAUACUGGCUCGCUAGAGUGUGUCAGAGGAUGGUGGAAUUCCCGGUGUAGCGGUGAAAUGCGUAGAGAUCGGGAGGAACAUCAGUGGCGAAGGCGGCCAUCUGGGACAACACUGACGCUGAGGCACGAAAGCGUGGGGAGCAAACAGGAUUAGAUACCCGAGUAGUCCCUGUCUCUUAUAU